AGAGUUUGAUCCUGGCUCAGGACGAACGCUGGCGGCGCGCCUAACACAUGCAAGUCGAACGAGCGAGAGGAGGUUUACUUUCUCAAGCGAGUGGCGAACGGGUGAGUAACGCGUGAGGAACCUGCCUCAAAGAGGGGGACAACAGUUGGAAACGACUGCUAAUACCGCAUAAGCGCACAGGGUCGCAUGACCUGGUGUGAAAAACUCCGGUGGUAUGAGAUGGACCCGCGUCUGAUUAGCCAGUUGGUGGGGUAACGGCCUACCAAAGCGACGAUCAGUAGCCGACCUGAGAGGGUGACCGGCCACAUUGGGACUGAGACACGGCCCAAACUCCUACGGGAGGCAGCAGUGGGGAAUAUUGCACAAUGGGGGAAACCCUGAUGCAGCGACGCCGCGUGAGCGAAGAAGUAUUUCGGUAUGUAAAGCUCUAUCAGCAGGGAAGAAGAAAUGACGGUACCUGACUAAGAAGCACCGGCUAAAUACGUGCCAGCAGCCGCGGUAAUACGUAUGGUGCAAGCGUUAUCCGGAUUUACUGGGUGUAAAGGGAGCGCAGGCGGUACGGCAAGUCUGAUGUGAAAGCCCGGGGCUCAACCCCGGUACUGCAUUGGAAACUGUCGGACUAGAGUGUCGGAGGGGUAAGUGGAAUUCCUAGUGUAGCGGUGAAAUGCGUAGAUAUUAGGAGGAACACCAGUGGCGAAGGCGGCUUACUGGACGAUUACUGACGCUGAGGCUCGAAAGCGUGGGGAGCAAACCAGGAUUAGAUACCCUGGUAGUCCACGCCGUAAACGAUGAAUA
rnacentral:rRNA from 1 species